UCCGAGUUGACCCCGGCAGUCUCCUAUGAGUCCCCACCAUCACGUGCUGGCAACAUAGAACGAGGGUUGCGCUCGUUGCGGGACUUAACCCAACAUCUCACGACACGAGCUGACGACAACCAUGCACCACCUGUACAGGACCCUUGCGGACCUCACAUCUCUGUGAGAUUUCCCUGCGUGUCAAGCCUUGGUAAGGUUCUUCGCGUUGCGUCGAAUUAAGCCACAUGCUCCGCUGCUUGUGCGGGCCCCCGUCAAUUCCUUUGAGUUUUAGCCUUGCGGCCGUACUCCCCAGGCGGGGCGCUUAAUGCGUUAGCUACGGCGCCGGGGGAGUCGACACCCCCAACACCUAGUGCCCAUCGUUUACGGCGUGGACUAC
rnacentral:misc_RNA from 1 species